CUGAAAUUACAAAUGAGCAACUUAAAUACAAAAAAUAACAAACGCGGUUAGUCUACACGAGUUCAGCAAGACGGCAUCCUCUCCCAAGAAUGAAAGAAGCCUGGAUACCUCUUCAUAAUGCCCAGUUUUCCUGGCCCCUCACCCUCCAUUGAGCGUGCCUCUCCAGCCGCUGGCCCGGGCCCAGGCGCUCUGCUCCCGUUCGGUCCUCCUGGCUGUGACCCGGCCACAAGGCGCUCUGCUCCGACUCAGCCGCUACUUGUCGUGAAGGGGUGACGGAUUGUCGCGCUCCUCGCAGCAUCAGGCCCCGUCCACGCUGCUUCGACGGCGUCUCCACCAGCCGACCAUGGAAAAUGAAGGUCAAGCAUUUUCCACAUUAGCAGCUUUACCAGGAGGGUAGAAAUGGAUAUCUGCUGUAAUUACCCUUCACCCCCUCCACUGAAAAACUGCUCCACACAUGUAUCUCCCAAAACUGAUGGUUCUCUUCAACACACUUUCAUAACAGACAAGAGAAUGAUGCAGAGGCAAUAUUAGAUGAGGUAUGUUAGAAAUUGGGGUAAAGGUGAGACAGGCACCUCUGAGUUCAUGCCAACUGUCUGGCACCAAACGAACUUCCAAGCAGUUAACCGUCUAAAUCCGGUGUGUGCAAUUUUCAAACACACAGUCAACUUACUGAAGCCUCUCCCGCCUUACUGUAAAGAAAACACACAGUUUUUCACCACUUCAGAGGCUACGCUGAAUCCAUUUCUUUAACUUUAUUUUUUUUAAAUUUACGAGUGUCUGCUGCAUCGUAUAAAAGAGGUUUUACUUUUGUAGCUGGACUAGUAAAAAUGCUGUUCACACAUAUGCAGGAAGCAUUUUACUGCUUUACCGGCCUCCGAAGGGUCACUUCUCUUUCAAUGAACUAUCAACAAACAGCCUAUAAUAUUCAUAACGCUGAAAGUAAAGACAUGUAUGGUAAAUGCUGUCUAAAUGUGCCUGGAAAGCUUUGUUUAUUUACAACGUUGCAACUCACUGGUGUGGAAUUUUCGAAACCUCUUGUUUUUCCUCAGAACCCAAAAAUUAUUUUAGAACAAACAGCUUGUCAGAGAGAAACUGUGAUUGUGUGACAUUGAAAAACUGUUUCUUAUUCUUACCCCUAAGCCACCCACUCAACGGUCUGACCACACGCACCAUGAAGGAGUAGAGAUUUACCAAUUUGCCAGUUGUUUUGAUAUUAGACUGCAGCCUGUUGAGUAAUGCAGGUUAAGGUCUGUUUACCUUCGCUGCUGGGAAUGGGUGAGGCCUAACCCUCAGAAGGUGGUUGACUCACUGUUGACACGUGCUUUCCAGCCCCCCCCCCCCCGACAUGACAGCACAUCAAUUUGGUAUGGUGGGUAAAUCUAAUUGCUUGCUGUGUUUUCAAGCAAUGUUCCUUUCCCCAUACGUAGAGCUCGGGUAAUGUAAUGACUGCGAGUCCCGCCACUGCACGGACCUCAUGCUUGGUUAGCUGCAAGCAGAAUCAUGUGCUCUCUUCAGCAGCAGUUAGGAGAAUGAAAAAUCUUCUUCACUGCCCCCAAUUAACAGUGAAGGUCGAGCGCCAGAAAGUUAUGAUGCGAUUUAACCCCCCGCAUGAGGUCAAUUUGACCUGAAUAGCUUCCUAUUAAGCAUGAUAAAUUUGUUAUUUUUCAAUCCAUUAAACCUUUUCCCCAUAGUCCAUUUAGUCGGAACAAACCGUUGGCCUGCCAUAACCUAUGUUCUGUUUACCACGAGCAGGCUUCAAGGGGAAAAGUAAGGGGAUGACACAACAAUUAGCUGCGAUGACUUCAAAGUGCUGUCUGCCACAGGCUUUCGCUAAUUAUCAGUCACCAGUGUUGGGUGAGGAUCCCUCCAGUGCGAGGGUCAAUAGGGUAACACCAACAGCAGAAUAUAACAAAGGCUAAACUUCAGGCCAGCCAGUGCAACGGCUAUCAAUGAAACCUUGUUAUGACCAUGGGAUCCAUGGGAUGGGACUGAUGGGAAGAAUAGGCAUGUGAGCUUCAGGGAGGAAGCCUCUGACUACGCUGACCUGUCUACAAGAGCCCCCCGGGCAGACAGAAACCAAGGCCUCCAACAGAUGUUUGGGAGAAACUGGCCUAUUCAUCAUGGCACUUUUGUGGAAUGUCUUUGAACUGCUUUUUCAUUUUGUGUCACAUCCAUCUCAAGCCAAACCAGAGAAGGUCAAUUAGAUAGAUAGAUAGAUAGAUAGAUGGAUAGAUGGAUAGACAGAUAGAUAGAUGAUUUCCAUGUUUGUUAAGUAGGGCUUAGUUCCUGAGUGUCUCCCAUCACUGCCCAGCUCAUAAAUCACACCCCUGAGGGAGCUUUUGGGCUGGACGUGUUAUUGUGCAACUCUGUCUACAAUCCCACACCACACUCUGCUUCAUCCACAGUUCUCAUGUGCUCACACACACACACACACAUAAAUUGGCAUGUUGGAGUGUGAAGUCAUGGCAUGGUUACAGGGUCUCGAUCGGCCCAUGUGGAACUGCUUUUUCCUCCCACUCUCCCAUGCCGCAGCAGUAGGAUUUAAAUCACCCAAGGCCAAGAUGACAAUGACAAAACUAUAUACAGAAAGAGUGACUGAGUCGGUAAAGCAGCUCUCCACACCAGCUCGCAAAAUCCACAAAAAAGAAAACACAGAGGAACGCGCACAGGAUUCGUUGUGUGGAUUGUCUUUUGUUAACAUUCCAGUUCACUGUAAUGUAAAAGUAUUCAUAUGACUCUACCCCAGCCUGCCGGUACAGCUGAGUUUUAUACCGAGCGCUCAGUAGGGAGCAGGAAGAGAGGCCCCGUGUGUCCAGAGUCCCGUCUCCUGAGCAGCACUAAGCACUCAGCAGGCUUCAAGGGCGAAUGUUCAUUAGGGAGCCAAGUUUUAAUAAGCCCGCAGACAGACAUGCUGCUAAACAGCCUCAAGUGCCAGAAGAAGUGAGUUUACUUAUCCUGCUGAUCCUCAUGACUUCGCAUGGCAUCAUGAGCAACGCAUCUAGGUACAUGACCCAACGGUCACCGUCUGCACAUCAUUUACCAUCAUGCCAGGGAGUGAAAUGUUUUAGAUACUUUGUUACUGAGAUCAGUAUACACGUGACUGAAUUACGAUGGAGGAGUUAAGCAAUGUUUACUUCAGCCGUUAUUUAUCAAGUGAAAGUUGAGUAAGCAUGUGCAGGGCUUCACAUUCACACCAGUUUAGAAUAACUACAGGCCAGAUGAGGCCUAAAUGCCUUGCCCAAGGGCAGGAGAGCGACAAGUGUUUAUUCACUUGCCCUAAAUUGUUCUGCAAGACCUGCAAGUAGCUGAAAAUAUCUGUUAUUAGGCAUAGUUCUUCAUGGGAUAUAGACAUUUAUUUUAAAAUACAGAAUUACAAGUAAUACUCCUGCAGUUAAAACAUAAAUGCCCAGUAGUGAUAACAAUUGUACUUCUAUGUGACAGUAUGGUUCCUGUGAGAUGUGCAUCAUACUUUUCAUUGAUCAUAGGUUUUAUAUUACAAAUCUCAAAAAUUGUUAAUUAUGAACAUUGAUGCGUAAUGCUAAGAAUUUGUACCAGUGCAAAAUCUACCUACCAGCCUCCCUAAAGUGCACUAAUUAACAAAUUGUAUCUUUUUAACCCUUACAAAGCCCACUUUAAAUAUUAAAAACUAAUAGUUUCACUGAUGUCAGACAGGCAAGGCCAGCUGCUUCCUCAUGUUUGCUUCUAGCCUGAAUCAAAGAUAAGGUGAUUGGUUGGUGGCUCUAGUGACAGAUAUGAAAAUAGAAUCUCCAUCAUCCAUCCAUUUUUUCUGCUUGUCUGGGUUACUUUAUGGUGGUAGCAGGUUAAGCAGGAUAUUCUAGAUGUCGCUCUUCCCAGCAACUCUUUUGAGUUCCUGCUGAGGGAUGCUAAGGCGUUCUCAGGCCAGAUGAGAUAUUGAAUCCAAUUCUGGAUCUCCUUCCAAUUGGACGUGAUUGAAAAACCUCUACAGGAGGCAUCCUUAUCAAAUGCCGGAACCACCUCACCCAACUUAAAUUGACGUGAAGAAACAGCAGUUCUACUUCAGAUUCCCUCCAUUGCCAGAGCUCCUAACCCUGAGGCUGAGCUCAGCCACUCCAAUUUUGACGACUUGUAUCUCAGCUAAUUUUUUUGGUCACUGCCCACAGCUCAUGACUAUAGGUGAGGUCAGAACAUAGAUUAACCUGUAAAUCGAAUGCUUUGCCCUCUGGCUCAACAACACCCAUAUUACUGCUGAUGCUGCACCAAUCUAUCUAUGUAUGGUAUGCUCAUUUUUCUGUCCUCCAUCGAAAGGAUCCUUUGAUAUUUCAACUCCUUUGCUUGGGGCAGCAGGUCACUCCCAACCCAGAAAGAGCAAGUCAUCAGUUUCCAGCAGAGAAUCAUGGCCUCAGAGUUGUAGGUGCUGACUCUCAUCCCGGUGGCAAGGAACCAACUCUGCAGUUCCCAAACCAAUGCUUUGAGAUCCUGUCCAUGAAUAGGAUUGAAGACUAGGGGCAACCCUGGUGGAGUCCAGCACCCACUGGAAACAUGUUUAACCAUGUGCCAAGAAUACAAAUACUGCUCUCACUUUGGUUGUAUAAGGACCAGAUAGCUCGUAACAAUGGCCUCCAAUUCCAACAGCACUUCCAACAGGGUUCCCAUAGGGGACAUGAUGGUAGGCUUUUCCAGGGCCACAAAAGACAUAAGAACUGGAUAGUCAGACUCCCAUGACCCCUUCCAGCAACUCCAGAAGGGUAGAAGUCCAAGAGUUAGUCCAGCGUUCAAUGUCCAGGAUGGAAUCUGCAUUUCUCCUCUUGAAUCUGUGGUUCAACAACUGGUUGGGGGUCUUCUUUCUUUUCUAGCACCAUUGGUUAACUUUCCCAAGAAACCUGAACAAUGUGACUCCCCAAUAACUUUAUUGUGGAGUUGAAAAUACAAUGUUCGCCUCAGAUAUGUGACAGAAGUUGAACUAUCACAAAAUAUAAGUGCUCAGUAUUUAGUACUGAGAAUUUACAUUUACUUCAGUACUUGGGUAAAUGUCCACAGUUAUAUUUCAUUGCUGUUUUUAAUGUGUUCAUUAAUGAAUGAACUGCUAACUGUAGCGUGUUUGUCAACCUACUCCAGGAACAGUCACGUUUUGUUUGAAUGAAUUAUACACAAAUCAAAUGUACGUAAGCAGAGGAUCUCUACGGAGUUUUGGUUUGUUUUCUAUAACAAAUGUCAAGAUGCCAGACCCUGAAAUAUAUUUUGUAGUGAAACAGGAACACACAAGAAUAUAUCAAGGUUGUACUUUAUCACUCUGUCAGUAUGAAGUGGUUUGACUAUAUGAUAACUGAUCCAGAGUUGUUUCUGCAAUGUCAAGGCGCUCUCCCCACACUCAGCCUCUUUUCUCUGUGGAUUAUCUUGGCACAGUGUACACCAGUGUUUAUCUAAGGAAGAGGUAAAUUGCUAAAUGAAUAAAAACAGGAUGACAGCUGAGUAGAAAAAUACAUAAUGACAGCCGUGACGAUUAUUGAGUGCUGUUAACAAAACGAUAAAGUCAUAAAAGUGUCCUUCAACUGUUUCUACUUUGCUAAAGAUAAGAUAACCCAGAGAAAUCAGUCAUGGGGCUUGUAUAUUAAGACUUGCAUGACAGACAUUCAUAGAAGUCCAUUCUGCGUGGGAUGUUUAGAUGAAUUUCAGAGCAAAAUUUGGCCCAAAAUCGUGCACAUUUUGUUCUGAACCAGAUUUUAGUUUGGAAAUUAUCUAAGGCUGCGAGGGAUUUCAUAAUGGGCAAAUGGAGAAUGGAAUGGAAGGGUGUAGUUCAUGCAUUCACAAACAACCCAGUGUCUGUUUGCUGUUUUGCAAAAUUGAUCCAGAGUAUGUUAAGCCUCCCUCUGAAAAUAAACAGAUUCUGUGGUGUUCUAGCAAAACAAAGAAGAUAGAUAGUCAGCGAUACUAUCCACAAAAGUCCUGGCUGAUAUUAGAGGCUAUGAUGGUCAAAUUCACAUUACCCGCACUACUGUUUCCUGCACCUUGUUUUCAUCUCGCCGGUUGAUAGUAUGCGAUGAGAAGUUUAGUAAUCAUUGGCUGUGAUUGCUUGCAGAGGCUCAACCAUCUGUCCACCAUUUAGUAUAAAGAAUGAUUCCUGUUUGCAGCAAUGAGUCGGAUCUACUUAUUAGAUCACUGCGUCAUCCCUUAUGAUGAUGGAUAGUGUCGUGUUGGGUCACUUUUUUUAUUGGUGGAUUGAUCAAAAAUGCACUCAGUUUUCCGCUUCAGGCCAAACCACAUCUGGAGGCAACCUGGGAGCUGUUAAUCACAACCUAAACAGAAAAUAGCUCAAUCUCCUUGUUGCAAACACCCAGAAACUUCUAUAGUUGCAUAACAGCCUUUAUUAUGUCAUUUUUGUUCUUAGAAGAAGACAGAAAAUGGAAGGUUUUCAUAUUCCUGCGGUAAUAAAUACAGGGUGCCUUCGAAUUGUGGCUAAAAAGUGUUACACACUGUAUUUACUUGGAAGUUUAUUUCCAUGCAAAACCUCCUCAGAGGAGUCUUUCUGGUCAAAUGCUUUGUUGAUGUAAUGUUUACUUUGCCACAGAAAUCUUGCUGUUGCAUUUUCUAAUGACUGCAACAAGAUCACAGAUUAAUUUAGGGGAUGGAAACUAUCUCAACCACAGUCCACGGACGAACUUGGACAUAUGACGAAAUUUGUAUGUCCUUGUGGAGCAGUUGGCUCAUUAUGCGGAAGGUUUUGAAAUGAUGAUGGUGGUUUGGAAUGAACAGCUUCAAAAGUUGGGGGACUCCAUCAGGUCGGUGAAAUAUGUUUACUAAUUGGUGGGAAGAGACGCAACGAGGGGAGAAACCUAACAGCCAACCUGACUGAUUAUGCUGACAGCUUCAUGGCAAAAGUUACUACGAAUAUCCAAUAUUUUUAUGUUUGUUCAAAGUUUUUCACAGCCUGAACAGUGUCACCGGUGGGCCUUUAUCCUGUUCUUCAGCUUGGUCCAAACAAAGCAAAUAAAUCAUAAGCAUGGCAA